UACGGAGGGGGCGAGCGUUGUUCGGAAUUACUGGGCGUAAAGGGCGCGUAGGCGGCGACUCUAGUCAGAUGUGAAAGUCCUGGGCUUAACCUGGGGACUGCAUUUGAUACUGGGUUGCUUGAAUUCGGGAGAGGAUAGCGGAAUUCCCAGUGUAGAGGUGAAAUUCGUAGAUAUUGGGAAGAACACCGGUGGCGAAGGCGGCUAUCUGGACCGACAUUGACGCUGAGGCGCGAAAGCGUGGGGAGCAAACAGG
rnacentral:rRNA from 1 species